UCAUCAUCUUUGCUUUUGUCUCAGCAUCCAGCCCAGAAUCCCACCCCACCGCCCUGCGUUUAUUUUUCACAAAAACACAUCGAGAAUGUCGGGAUCCUCUAAUCUUGUAGCUAUGAAAAAAGUCGUACAGCAGCUCCGUUUCGAGGCGAGCAUUAACAGAGUGAAGGUCUCCCAGGCAGCUGCAGACCUUCAACAGUUUUGCAUUCAGAAUGCCUUGCAGGACCCUCUGCUCACUGGUGUGUCCUCCAGCACCAACCCUUUCAGGCCACAGAAGGUCUGCUCCUUCUUGUGAAACCACUGCAUUCAUUGAAACUUCUCAGAUGACUCCAGCAUAAUGUACUUCUUUGCUGUCUACAUGCCUUCAUUUUGAUGCUACAGGGAAAAGUUGACCUCAACACUGCUCCUCAUGCCAAGCCAUUUUACUGCCACGGGAUCUCUCGAGUGUAGAACACAUUGGAAUCAUGUCAGGAAGAUGACCAUCUAUUUUCAGCCACAGUAGAAGAAAGGAGACAGUUUUAUUUUUAAUGGCACAGUGUGAUUUUCGAGGAAAUAAUCGUGCCUUUUCUAUUGUUCUAUUUUAGUCAUCACUGUUCUGGACUUUUUUGUAUUUAAUGAAUUAAAAAAAACAUUCUUUACUA